AGAGUUUGAUCCUGGCUCAGGAUGAACGCUAGCUACAGGCUUAACACAUGCAAGUCGAGGGGCAGCAUGAAGUUUGCUUGCAAACUUGAUGGCGACCGGCGCACGGGUGAGUAACGCGUAUCCAACCUUCCCUAUACUAGAGGAUAGCCCGGCGAAAGUCGGAUUAAUACUCUAUGUUCUUCGUAGAAGACAUCUGAAAUGAAGCAAAGGUUUACCGGUAUAGGAUGGGGGAUGCGUCUGAUUAGGUUGUUGGCGGGUAACGGCCCACCAAGCCCACGAUCAGUAGGGGUUCUGAGAGGAAGGUCCCCCACAUUGGAACUGAGACACGGUCCAAACUCCUACGGGAGGCAGCAGUGAGGAAUAUUGGUCAAUGGACGAGAGUCUGAACCAGCCAAGUAGCGUGCAGGAUGACGGCCCUAUGGGUUGUAAACUGCUUUUAUACAGGGAUAAAGUGCACUACGUGUAGUGUUUUGUAGGUACUGUAUGAAUAAGGACCGGCUAAUUCCGUGCCAGCCGCGGC
rnacentral:rRNA from 1 species